CGGAGGACAAGAAACUAAACAGGAUCCCCAUAGUAAUGGCGAAUGAACCGGGAUAAACUCAGCAUGGAAAUUGGGGCCUUUGGCUUUGACUUGUAAUCUGGUGAGGCAUUGCCAACAGAGGCGCAUAUGUAAGUCUCUUGGAAAAGAGCAUCAACGAAGGUGAGAGUCCUGAUUGUCAUGUGCAGCCCCCCUGUGCACGGUGUGCCUUCUAAGAGUCACGUUCCUUGGGAUUGGAGCGCAAAUUGGGUGGUAACUUUCAUCUGAAGUUAAACAAUGGUUUGGGACCGAUAGGAAACAAGUACCAUGAGGGAAAGGUGAAAAGGACUUUGGAAAGAGAGUUAAAAGUGCCUGAAAUUGCUGAAGGGGAAGCGAAUGGAACCAGUGGUGCUGGGUGAGAUUGUCACAUGCUGCAAGGAUUGGUUGCUGCCACAACGCAAGUGUGCUGGCAAUGUGUGAAUUGCUAGUGUGUGGUGUGUCUUUGUUGUUAUGCUUGUGCGUAAGCUUUAGUGUUUGUCUGGCUGCAGGGCUGUCCAUCCUCAAGCUUUGCGUGUGGUUGCGAUGAGCAUAACCUUCUGCACAGAUCUUGACGAAAUGGUUUCAUUCGACCCGUCUUGAAACACGGACCAAGG
rnacentral:rRNA from 1 species